GACGAACGCUGGCGGCGUGCUUAACACAUGCAAGUCGAACGAGGAGCGAUGGAAGCUUGCUUCUAUCAAUCUUAGUGGCGCACGGGUGAGUAACGCGUAAACAACCUGCCCUUCAGAGGGGGACAACAGUUGGAAACGACUGCUAAUACCGCAUACGAUCUAAUCUCGGCAUCGAGGAUAGAUGAAAGGUGGCCUCUACAUGUAAGCUAUCACUGAAGGAGGGGAUUGCGUCUGAUUAGCUAGUUGGAGGGGUAACGGCCCACCAAGGCGAUGAUCAGUAGCCGGUCUGAGAGGAUGAACGGCCACAUUGGGACUGAGACACGGCCCAGACUCCUACGGGAGGCAGCAGUGGGGAAUCUUCCGCAAUGGACGAAAGUCUGACGGAGCAACGCCGCGUGAGCGAUGACAGCCUUCGGGUUGUAAAGCUCUGUUAAUCGGGACGAAAGGCCUUCUUGCGAAUAGUGAGAAGGAUUGACGGUACCGGAAUAGAAAGCCACGGCUAACUACGUG
rnacentral:rRNA from 1 species